UAGAAGACACCAACCCGCACACCCAUGUAGGUGUGAUUCGCGAACAGGUGUGUACUUGGAUCAGGGGAGAACUGACUCGCACACCCAUGUAGGUGUGAUUUGCGAACAGGUGUGCUAGAUGGGACCUGACCUUGUCCAACUCACACACCCAAGUAGCACACCAGGCGGCUCACCAGUUUUCAUUCCUUAAGUCCUUCCUCAGCUUGUUCUCAGACUCC
rnacentral:lncRNA from 1 species